CCGCAGUAUAUUAACUGUGCUAAGGUAGCAUAAUCAUUAGUUUUUUAAUUGAAAACUGGAAUGAAGGGUUGGAUGAAAAAAUAGCUGUCUCUAUUAAUAUAUAAUAGAAUUUUAUUUUUUAGUUAAAAAGCUGAAAUGUUUUUAAAAGACGAGAAGACCCUAUAGAAUUUUAUAUUUGUAUAGAUUGAUAUUUUUAGAAUUUAAAUUAUUAAUUUUUAUUAGUAUUGAGUUGGGGUGAUUAAAAAAUUUAAUUAACUUUUUUUAUAUUUAUAUAUUAAUUAAUAAUUUAUUGAUCCAAUAUUUUUGAUUAUAAGAAAAAAUUACCUUAGGGAUAACAGCGUUAUUUUAUUAGAGAGUU
rnacentral:rRNA from 1 species